GGAUUGAUUCGGGCGACAAGUUGAGUAAUUCCACCAGCUUUUUGUCCCUUAGUAACUCGUCCACAAAUUUGUUCCACAUGAUGGAUUUGUUAAAGAGCUUAGGAGAUAUGGCACUGCUUUCUUGCAUGAAUUUCCAGAGAUUGUUGUUACAUUCCUGUUUUGGAUCCAACCUAUGAUCAAUCGCUUGAUUCCACAUGCGGAGGCGAAGUGCCCUCUGGUGCGUGGCGUGGAGUGGAGUGGCGGAGAGUUUUUGAGAAAUGCCCUCACGAACUUGGUCAUAAAAAAGUCGUAGAUAUAUGCUUCGCAUGGGAGAGAAAAGGAGUGCGUAUUGCUCAUCCUGCCAGUUGAAUGCGUCCAAAACUUGAUGAUCUUGCAAGGUGAUCUUGGACUCCAGAAAUUUUAUCUUCUCUGUGAGUUCCCAAUCAUGAAGUUCCAAGAGCUGCAUCUUGCGCGUAGCUACUACAAAUUUGUUCUGAAGGUCUUGCACUUUGUCCAGAAGCUCAAAGCCUUCACUAAUGCGUUCUUCAUCAAGGAUUCUUUUGAGCUCGGCAGGAUCGACCUCGUCACCAACUCCACAGAUUUGAGUGGCUAGAUUGGGAUCCAGCACAGCGCCGAUGAGAUUCUCGACUUUGUGAGGAUCUUUUACACGUUUGGACACUUCCUCGCAAAUAUGUUUCAAGCUAAUCCUCUCGUCAUUUUGUGUGUGGUUUGCACCACCAAUUGGAUUUGUGCUGGUAAAUAAUGAUUCCACAGUGGAUUCGUCGAGCAAUGCAGCCAGAUUGACUGGACAGGUCAGUUUCUCGGUUAGUGUUCCUUCAAUGGGAUCUAUUUGCAACAAAAUCGAUUGGUAGCUCCCCUCCAUCCCGAUAAUAUCUUCGGAUGCGCUUCAAGGAAACAUGCCAGGUUCUCUCUGGAUGCUGAACCGUUCACAAAGUGUUUACUCUUAACAAAAAUCUUGAGGAUAUUCUCAAACAUACUCUAAGCUUGGACGCAGUAGUGACGUAUCCAUCCAUUUCACAUACGACUAAUACCAUUGCACGCAACAAUUUCUAACGUGCUGCAACCAAAUAAGUCUCGUUUGACGUCAAGUCUUUGUGAUGUUGAAGAGCAGGACGAGCUGCAGCGGAGGGACACAGCCAGGGUUCAACUUCCACAGGAGACAAACCGUUAUUUUGCUUAGAAAAGUUCAAAUGACAUGCCCGAAAGUGAAAAUUUAUCAUGGCGGGCAGUCCUUGGUGAUUUGUUCAUGGUUUACGCAAGUGGCUGCGGGUACGACAGCAACUGGAACAUCUAAACUAGUAAGAAUAGUGAGACCAUUUUCACCUCCUCAUCUCACCACCUUAUCAUCGGUCACACACUUACUGUUCAAGCCCAGCCGUAACACAAACCUAGAUAAUUAAUUGAGUGCUUCAAACAAUGUACAAACAAAAAGAAUAACAGAGCGAGAUUAUUGAAAAAUCAGAUUUUGGACAUGCACACUGGAAAGACAAAAAGAAGAUCAAACAAAUUCAUUCUUGUAUGCUGGGUACAUGAUCCAUGUAAUAGAUACUAAGUGUGUGCCUACAGAGCACUAACAAGAAGUAGCACUGAUAUUCAUGUAACUCAUUUUUGUUGGAGCUCAAUUCUCUGUUAACUCAGUAACGUCAUGUGGACAAAGCAAGAUUGUACAUUCAACAUACAAGAUUGCAAUUUUAUCCCACUCCACCUCUGCACAUACCAAGAUGGUAUGUGGACCCCCAACAAGCUGCUACAAUCCUGCUACAACUGACUCUUCCAGCUUUGCUGACCAUACUCAAUAUUAGUGACGAACAUCAACUUCAGUCCAGCUGGGUAUGAGCAUCCUCGUUCACAACGCAGGGCGUAUUCCAUCUCCACAGUCAGUACUCCUUACCUGAAUUGAAGUGAUAGCUUGUUGUGCUCACUUUGUCAGGUGUCUUCGUGGUACUUCAUAUAUUUACAACUUAAACGAGCUCCCCAGCUCAAGAAAGCAAGAUGUGAGAAACCAAACACACAGAAACCGGUUCCUAAUCCCAGCAUCCUGCAGCAAUAUUUCGACGCACAAUGUCGUGCAAUGUUCAGGAACGAGCUGCGCUUUUAUUCAAUCGUGGUUUCAAAGAGUGAUCCUCUAGAUUCAGGAACAGCAGUUGUAUGCAAGCCAGGCUGAGAGCUGGUGGUUCUAGCGAGCAUCGUCUGGAAUCCUCCUACAUCUAGCGCGUGAGUACCAAUUAUUCCAAGUAGCUUGUAGUGAAAUCAACCUUUGCUUGAUGUGAGCCUUGAAAUACUGAUCCUGAUGAUCGGAGCUUGCAAGAACAUUUGGGCAACUCGACGAAUGGAAAUUUUAUUGCCACUCGCAGGAUAGAGGGACGCGAUUAUCGCUUCGAAGUCUAGUUUGGUUUCAACAAACUUAAGCAGUGGGUACUCCACAUGAGCUUAUCCUAGAUUUCGGGGAAAAAAUUAUCACAAUGGUGAAGAUUACUGAAGCUAAAAUACCAUUCCUUCCUCUAGAUGGACAGCAAGAGUUAUAGUGAACAUCAAAGAGGCUUGUGACCACGGCAUUGAGGAAGUUGGCCUCCCCAGUCGAACAGCUUUGUUUCCUUCAUCGAGAGUUUCUUAGGAAAAACGAGAAUCUCCGCGAUUGUGGUGGAGCAUACAACCCAAAAUUGGUGGACAAAAUAAAGGUUAAGGUCAAGCGAAAGUUACCAUGCAGUGGAUGUUGUUGAAACAGGGUAGCUUUCGGAGACCGCUCUGCAAUAUUGAACUUCUCAACAAUUGCAAGCGUUACAUUACCCAGAACGGACAUUUGUGAAUUGGUUGCGCAUUCUAUUGCUUUUCUCCCUAUGGCUGUGUUUCUGUAACAGUGAUCAAUGCAUCAGACCUUUUGAGGAUUACCACAAUAAAACUAAGAAAAGAAGGGUGAACUACUUUGAUGUAUUGAUCCUUGCUUUGGCAAUUACCUUGCAGCAGUUUUAGGCAUACAAGACAAGGGAUGGGCUUGUCCCUCAAUGAAGAUGUCCCUUCACAGUUUCAGUAGAGCGAAAAUUCAAAUGUACUCGGGACUUCUUGUCACAUUUAUGCUCCAACCUUUUUCAUAUGUCAAUGCAGUGGAAAGACAAAGCAACAGCCAGAUCUUAAGUCUACGUGCAGACUAAAUUGCAGAAUAAGACCCGUAUUUCCAGCACGAGUUUCUCCUCUGCAGUUGACUGCGGAAGAGGAGCCAAGAAGCACAGAAACACAAGACCUUGACACUGACUUGAUGUCGGUGCUGAGAGGGAAGGCUACUGUAGCUCUACCAUUCGAGAACAUGGCAAUGUGUGUUGAUGCUUCCACUGUUGUAUUAGGAAGACAAGAACCUGCCAAGGUUAAAGAAGCCCACGGGCUGUUUAGUUGGUUCCCAAGAUUCAAAUCUCCAUCCGUUCUAGCUCCAUCAACAUAAUUGGCUUUGCAAUGUUUGUGAGGUUAUUAUACACUCGACUGCCAACCUCUUCCUAAACUUAAGCAGAGGGUAAUCGUGCACAGAAGCCACGAAAUUAACAUUCAUUCUUGUGACAACUUUCAGAUCUAGUAGUUUUAUCUAGUGGACCAAUGUAUGCAUCCUACAAAUAGUUGUGGGGUGGUGCAACGUGUGGCACCCGUUUGCAUUACAAAAUGAUUUCAACCAGCUCUUAUUGCGCAA